CACAGGCUUUAGCAGACUUCAUCGUUGAGCUCACCAUCCCGCUCGAGCUCCCACCAGGGGAGCAGGCAGAUUGGAAAAUUUUUGUCGAUGGAUCUUCAAAUGACGAAAGAUCCGGGGCGGGAAUCAUAAUGAUAGGUCCGAAUGAAGAAGAGUUGGAAUACUCACUGCACUUUGAAUUCCCAGCAACAAAUAACGAAGCCGAGUACGAAGCGGUAAUCACGGGUUUGGGAUUGGCAGCCAGACUCGGGGUCACCUCAGUGGAAGUUUGCAGUGACUCUCAGUUGAUAAUCGGGCAAGUGACGGGGGAAUUCGAAGCAAAGGACGGAAAGAUGGCUGCAUAUUUAAUGGAGGUCAAAAACUUGCAGAGGGGGUUCACUAAGUUUAAGAUAACUAAGGUCCCUCGAAAGGACAAUGAGCGAGCGGACGCACUGGCUAAGCUCGCAUCAGCCAACCCCAGACGACUGCCUCGCACAGCCAGUGUGCAAAUUCUGCGACAACCUAGCAUCCAACAUGUAAUCGAUGUUAUGAAUGUAGAAAAUGAGGAAAGUUGGAUAGACCCGCUGUUUGAGUAUCUCACAAAGAAUAAAUUGCCGGAGGAUGCUCUCACAGCCAGAAGGCUAAAAGUUCGGGCAGCCUCGUUUGUCAUCAUCGAUGGGCAACUCUACAAGCGAGGUUUCACAAUGUCAUAUUUGAAGUGUUUGCGACCGACAGAAGCACAGGAGGUGCUAGUCGAAGUACAUGCGGGAAUUUGUGGCAACCACCAAGGGGCGACUACCCUUGCGUUCAAAACGCUUCGACAAGGAUAUUAUUGGCCCAGUAUUAAGGAAGAUGCUAGAGAGUUGGUGAGAAAAUGCGAUGCAUGCCAACGCCAUGGAAAUCUGAUCCACAUUCCGGCCGAGCAAUAGACGGCAGUUUUCGGGGUGUGUCCUUUCUUCCAAUGGGGGAUGGACAUCUUGG
rnacentral:lncRNA from 1 species